rnacentral:misc_RNA from 1 species
AAGUCGUAACAAGGUUUCCGUAGGUGAACCUGCGGAAGGAUCAUUAACACGUAUCCAACGUUAAACCCCCCGUGAACCUUCAUUGUGCUCCCCCAUUCCGUUAGGACGCGGCAAUCCCUGGUAAAUCAUCGCCGAACAGUUUUGAUUCAGGGACCUCUGCAUGGAGUGGGCAGCAGCGCGAGGCAAGUGGCCUGGCAUUCGAAAGAAUGGCGCAGUAACGAUCGCUAGAGGCCGACACGGCCGGCGACCGGGUCACUGGGCUCACGCCCCCCACCUUUGCAUGAAAACGGGCCUGCGCUUAAUUGUGCGGCCACCAAACUCGAACAACUGUUAACAAUGGAUAUCUUGGUUCUC